UUAGUUUUAUUCCGGUUUUGCCAUCAAGAGGUAAUACGGUUUGAACGGAUCCUUUUCCAAAACUCUUUGUACCAAGGAUUAUAGCUCUUUUAUUAUCUUUUAAUGCCCCAGCGACAAUUUCUGAAGCAGAGGCAGAACCAUUAUUAAUUAAGACAACGAUAGGCGCAUUGUCUAACACAUCCCCUGGAUUGGCCAGGGCGGUGAAUUUAGAACCAGGUAGUCUGCCUUCCGUAUAGACUAUCAUUUCUUGCUUACCUGCCUUGUCAUUGCCAAGAAAAGCAUCGGAUACCUGGAUAGCUGAAUCAAGUAAACCCCCGGGGUUAUUUCUUAA
rnacentral:ncRNA from 1 species